UAAUCUCACCAUCCGACUUAUUGUCGGUUGUUGUGGACUUGGAUGCUGCCGUGUUGUGACGGCUCAUCUGAAAUGUCUGAGUACAUCCUGAAUUUGCGGUGUGUUCGGUGUGAUAAAUCUUCACCGGAGUCGACCUCAGGUCACGCCCGCUCGUCAUGGCUCUGUGCUUCCAACCGUCUCCCCUAGGAGACAAUCUCUGACA
rnacentral:misc_RNA from 1 species